rnacentral:rRNA from 1 species
UACGUAGGGUCCGAGCGUUGUCCGGAAUUAUUGGGCGUAAAGGGCUCGUAGGCGGUCUGUCGCGUCGGGAGUGAAAACUUACAGCUUAACUGUGAGCGUGCUUCCGAUACGGGCAGACUUGAGGUAUUCAGGGGAGAGCGGAAUUCCUGGUGUAGCGGUGAAAUGCGCAGAUAUCAGGAGGAACACCGGUGGCGAAGGCGGUUCUCUGGGAAUAUCCUGACGCUGAGGAGCGAAAGUGUGGGGAGCGAACAGG